UACAGCCAUAUCAUGUUGAAACAUUAGUUCCCAUUAGAUCACUGUAGUUAAGCAACAUCGAGCCUAAUCAGUACCUAGAUGGGUAACUGCUUGAGAAUACCAGAUGCUGUG